CCUACGGGUGGCAGCAGUGGGGAAUAUUGCACAAUGGGGGAAACCCUGAUGCAGCGACGCCGCGUGAAGGAAGAAGGAUUUCGGUUUGUAAACUUCUAUCAGCAGGGAAGAAAAUGACGAUACCUGACUAAUAAGCACCGGCUAACUACGUGCCAGCAGCCGCGGUAAUACGUAGGGGGCAAGCGUGAUCCGGAUUUACUGGGUGUAAAGGGAGCGUAGGCGGUAUAGCAAGUCAGAUGUGAAAGCCCUGGGCUUAACCCCGGGACUGCAUUUGAAACUGUUAAACUAGAGUACAGGAGAGGAAAGUGGAAUUCCUAGUGUAGCGGUGAAAUGCGUAGAUAUUAGGAGGAACACCAGUGGCGAAGGCGGCUUUCUGGACUGUAAAUGACGCUGAGGCUCGAAAGCGUGGGGAGCAAACAGGAUUAGAUACCCGAGUAGUC
rnacentral:rRNA from 1 species